rnacentral:rRNA from 1 species
CUACGUGCCAGCAGCCGCGGUAAUACGUAGGGGGCAAGCGUUAUCCGGAUUCAUUGGGCGUAAAGCGCUCGUAGGCGGUCUGUUAGGUCGGGAGUUAAAUCCGGGGGCUCAACCCCCGUUCGCUCCCGAUACCGGCAGACUUGAGUUUGGUAGGGGAAGGUGGAAUUCCUAGUGUAGCGGUGGAAUGCGCAGAUAUUAGGAAGAACACCAGUGGCGAAGGCGGCCUUCUGGGCCAUAACUGACGCUGAGGAGCGAAAGCUAGGGGAGCAAACAGGAUUAGAUACCCUGGUAGUCCUAGCCGUAAACGAUGGACACUAGGUGUGGGGGAAUAUUUCUUCCGUGCCGCAGCUAACGCAUUAAGUGUCCCGCCUGGGGAGUACGGCCGCAAGGCUAAAACAUAAAGGAAUUGACGGGGACCCGCACAAGCGGUGGAGCAUGUGGUUUAAUUCGAAGCAACGCGAAGAACCUUACCAGGUCUUGACAUCCCGAUGCUAUUUCUA